UACGUAGGUGGCGAGCGUUGUCCGGAUUUACUGGGCGUAAAGAGCGCGCAGGCGGCUGGUCAAGUCCGAUGUGAAAGCUCCCGGCUUAACUGGGAAAUUGCAUCGGAAACUGAUCGGCUGGAAGGUGGGAGAGGGUAGCGGAAUUCCCGGUGUAGUGGUGAAAUGCGUAGAUAUCGGGAGGAACACCAGUGGCGAAGGCGGCUACCUGGCCCAUUCUUGACGCUGAGGCGCGAAAGCUAGGGGAGCAAACGGG
rnacentral:rRNA from 1 species